UACGUAGGGGCCUAGCGUUGUCCGGAUUUAUUGGGCGUAAAGAGCUCGUAGGCGGUUUGGUGAGUCGGGUGUGAAAUCUCCACGCUCAACGUGGAGGAGCCACCCGAUACUGCCAUGACUAGAGUCCGGUAGGGGAGUGUGGAAUUCCCGGUGUAGCGGUGAAAUGCGCAGAUAUCGGGAGGAACACCGUAGCGAAGGCGACCACUCUGGGCCGGUACUGACGCUGAGGAGCGAAAGCGUGGGGAGCAAACGGG
rnacentral:rRNA from 1 species